UUCGAAGAAGGAUAUCAUGUAGUCCUGGUAUACACGUAGUACCUAAAUUAGGCAUAACACUAUGUCUCUAAGAUCCUUAGGCUGCCAUGUGCACAUCUAGACCAUUACUUCAAACUGAGGUAUAAAUCUAUGAUCACAUUUUACCCAUCAUUGGGGAAAGGGUAUGGACAACAAAUUACUUUCCACAAGAACAAAUACACUGAAAUGAAUGACCCCUUAUGAACCUAUGUGAGAAC
rnacentral:lncRNA from 1 species